rnacentral:piRNA from 1 species
UGGAAGAUGCAAUGAGAGUUAUCAGCGUA